GAAUAACAUAGUGUAUUUGAAAUCCUAAUGUAAUUGCAUGCACAUGGUCCAGGCAAAACCGUAAAAGUCCAGCGGCAGUUAUCAGUUUCAUAUUUCAUACCACUACGUUUGUAACAUUUUGCAUAUCCAAUGGACAAGAAAGCAGCAGCACCACUAAAUCAUCAAACCUCAAACCACACACACACUGGCUGCUGGGAAUAUAUAUAUAUAUAUAUAUAUAUAUAUAUAUAUAUAUAUAUAUAUAUAUAUAUAGGGAUACAUAUAUGGUUCGAAUUUUAUAGAGGGAACAAAAGACAUCAACAAAUUAAACAAGCAGUGCUAAUUGGUUCGAUAACUCCUUUUUUCUGCACGUAAAAUGGAGUAGACAUAAACGAUCUUCAGGACAUUUUUCACAAGUCCAGUCUUCAGCUUAGUGAAUACGUCCUCGGGUCAUUUUAUCUGCUCGGAUGUUAACAGGCGCAUUAGAGGGUGAAACAAAAGAGCUAACAACUGAGCCAAUAUUAAACAUAAUGCAUCGACCUCCUUAACUGCGCUACUCCAAUCAUUCAUGUUUAUAAGACUGUAAGUAUUUUAAAUAAACAUUGACCCUUAAUGUGAUCACCAAAGCAUUGUUACAUGUCACGAAAAUAUAUCAUUUGAAUCUUCUUUUAAAUGUGAGUCCAAUUAUACAUUUUUUGUGGCAUGUAAGUAAUAUUCUGUUGAUCAAAUUAGUGGUCAACUUUUAAAAAGAAUACGUGUAGGCCUUAUAAAAAUGUGAAAUGAUACUAUUCACAAACUAUAGCCGCCUUUGGCUAAUAUGGAAAGUGCUGUUCUGUCUUCUUAAUUAACGUAAAUUCAACAGGUUGGCAAUGUAUAUGCUAAAAUAAGUGUCAGCUAUUUUUAAAAGGAAGGGUCAAAAAGAGCCCAACUUUGAAUUAAUAAAGUCAUCAACCGACCAGAAUUAACAGAUGUGUCAACUUUAAAUCAGGACUACAACUACAAACUCUGUGUUUUCUAAAUCUAAGUAGAUGCCCUGAGCCGUCCAAUGUCUCCGCAUUGGGACUUGCGGACAGAUUGGGAGAUCAAGAUUAAAUCAGAGGGCUAUCCCAUCAACUUAGGCAUAAGAAAAUUCAGUCUACUCAUAUUAGCCAUAGACGAAGUCCAAUAAUAUUAGGUGCAAUAUAUCGAUUAUUGUUCCUAAAAUAUGGCUCAAUGUAUCAUUUACAACAAAUAAAUAUUCCACCACAGAAUUAGUGUACUCAUUUUCUCGCAAUAGGACAUUAUCAUCAGUUAAUUUAUUUCUACUUGUAGCACAAAAUAAGUGUGUGACAAACUAAAUAUGCCGGUCAGGAUUAGCUAGCUGUAGGUUGGCACAUAUAGAGUAUAGAGAGUGCAGAGACAAACACACGAGAGCCUUUUAGUACUUAUGUUUUAGAUCUUUCAACAUUUUCCUUUUUUUAAUCUUUACUUCAAGGGAACACUUGUGCAUGCACGACAUGAAAUAUCAACUAUUGUACGUACGCAUCCAGAUCGGCUGCAAAGUCAUCUAGUACGGGAACACACUCUUUUUGCAUUCAAGGUUAUAUAUAUAGCAGUACAUAAAUUAAGAUAUAUGUUUUAUUACCAUGACCAUGAGAGAUGAUAUGCUGUUUCUUCGAUACUUCCGAAAAUAAAUCACCU
rnacentral:lncRNA from 1 species